UUAUUAUAGCAAAGAGGAUACACCUGUUCCCAUUCCGAACACAGAAGUUAAGCUCUUUAGCGCUGAUGGUACUCGGAGGGUAACCUCCCGGGAGAGUAAGA
rnacentral:rRNA from 1 species